rnacentral:rRNA from 1 species
UACGGGGGGGGCAAGCGUUGUUCGGAAUUACUGGGCGUAAAGGGCUCGUAGGUGGCCAACUAAGUCAUACGUGAAAUCCCUCGGCUUAACCGGGGAACUGCGUCUGAUACUGGAUGGCUUGAGUUUGGGAGAGGGAUGCGGAAUUCCAGGUGUAGCGGUGAAAUGCGUAGAUAUCCGGAGGAACACCGGUGGCGAAGGCGGCAUCCUGGACCGGCAUUGACGCUGAGGCGCGAAAGCCAGGGGAGCAAACGGG